GAUGAAGAACGUAGUGAAAUGCGAUAAGUAAUGUGAAUUGCAGAAUUCAGUGAAUCAUCGAAUCUUUGAACGCACAUGGCGCCUUCCAGUAUCCUGGGAGGCAUGCCUGUCCGAGCGUCGUUUCAACCCUCGAGCCCCCGUGGCCCGGCGUUGGGGAUCUGCCACGGCAGGCCCCUAAAACCAGUGGCGGACCCGAAGGCCCUCUCCUUUGCGCAGUAGCAUCAGCCUCGCAUUGGGAUCCCUCGGCGUCCUGCCUCUAAACCCCCCACAAGUCCGCUCCGGCGGCACCAAGGUUGACCUCGGAUCAGGUAGGAAUACCCGCUGAACUUAAGCAUAUCAAUAAGCGGAGGA
rnacentral:misc_RNA from 1 species